AUUGAACGCUGGCGGCAGGCCUAACACAUGCAAGUCGAACGAGUGGCGGACGGGUGAGUAAUGUCUGGGAAACUGCCUGAUGGAGGGGGAUAACUACUGGAAACGGUAGCUAAUACCGCAUACCAUCAGAUGUGCCCAGAUGGGAUUAGCUUGUUGGUGGGGUAACGGCUCACCAAGGCGACGAUCCCUAGCUGGUCUGAGAGGAUGACCAGCCCAACUGGAACUGAGACACGGUCCAGACUCCUACGGGAGGCAGCAGUGGGGAAUAUUGGACAAUGGGCGCAAGCCUGAUCCAGCCAUGCCGCGUGUGUGAAGAAGGUCUUCGGAUUGUAAAGCACUUUAAGUUGGGAGGCGUUACCAACAGAAGAAGCACCGGCUAACUUCGUGCCAGCAGCCGCGGUAAUAC
rnacentral:rRNA from 1 species